CCUACCACUACUAGUGGUCACUCAUCUAUUUACUCUGCACUUACAUUGCCAAGAACCACCCAAAUUCACCCAACCUUGUUUUCUCCCACCACCAAGUUCUUUUCUUCCAAAAGCCCCUCAUAUUCAGGUCUUUCCAAUUGUUUCUCAAACACCCUUUUGUCAAGACCUUUGCUUUUUGCUGUCAAGGCUUCAUCUGGGGUUGGCUCAGAAGCAUCCAAACAGGAGAGUGACAAGAGUGAAGAAGAAGAAGAGGAGGAGG
rnacentral:lncRNA from 1 species